GCGGUUGUAGCCAAGUGGUAAGGCAGCGGACUGUGACUCCUCCAUUCGCGGGUUCGAACCCCGUCAAUCGCC
rnacentral:tRNA from 1 species